UUUCAGCCAGUACCAAGCAAAGCGGCGCACCACUUAAACUUCUUUCUCAAAGCAAAAAAAGCAAGUUGUAGAGCAUGUUCUGCUUUCAUUUUCAUGAUGAAAAUCAACAUUCACCACACAGUACCAUCUCAUGAAACAACAUUAUCCCCACAUUAAUAUUCACCUCUCCAAAUAACACACUAAACCAAACAGUCUACCACCUUUAACACUCAACCAAAAACUUUAUUCUACCAUCACCAUGUUUCACAAACUCUAUCCAUUCACGAUCUUCACCCUGAAUCCGUAACCUCUGUCGUUGUUAUUCACUUCAUCAACAACCACCGAAAACCACCAAAACCGGUGGUAACCGCUACCUACAACAACUACCACGCAACAACAUUCUUCAUUCAACCAAGCCACAACUCAACCAAAUAUUUUUCUUCCAUGUUCUUCCAUAUUCACUAACCAACAAAGCCAUAUUUGCAAACUUAACUCAAAACAACAGUUGUUGCCUCUCUAAAACAAGACACAAACGCCUCUCCACGACAACACACCAACCACGUCCGCCAUCACGCAUAACUACGACGACCAUCUAAGCAAUUCCGAUGAAGCUCAGUAGCAUCUUUCAUGCAUCAUCAUCAUCACCAUUCCAUCAACCAUAAACGAACAACAUGAAAACACUCUAAAAAACACUUGCUGCCAUGAACAUCCUCAUCCGCCAUAACAAGCAUAACAACUGCCCCGCAGACAACAAUUUGUUUUGCAAACAUCGUUGGCGUGUCAUUUUCUGCGUCACAUUACCCUUGCCGAUGUCGCUCGUUACUACUCCUCUGCAGCCAUUCAAAUCGCACCUUCAACCAUCGUUGUAGAUAAGCGUAGCAACUUCCGUCGUCGUGUUUUGCAACAGCUGACAGAUCCGCCGCACUCUACAGCAGUAACCGCCAUAUCCCGUCUCCAUCUCUGUUACGAUCUAUGAUUGACGCUUUUUCAAAUUUUCGAUUGGUAUGCCGUCUUCCUCCUUUGGUGACGCAUUUAUGUGUAUAAUUUCUUGCAUUUUUCGUUGUUGUUGAUAUUCCUUUGGGUCUGUUUUAAAAAAACUGAUAAGAAAGCUUGCAUUGCAUUUGAAAUACAUUUGAAAUAACUAGUCCUUACUCUUUGUUUAUUUUGUUUU
rnacentral:lncRNA from 1 species